GACAAAGACCACCAAAUCAGCUCUAUCAUCAAUUGUGCCUUGCGAGGAUGAUGCUCCAUCAGCCAUGCGUUUUUCGCCAAGCCAAAUCUUGGAGAAAACAACCAAGGAAAAGGGAAAGAUGGUAAAUUUGGAUCCGAAGGAGCAAAAAGAUCAAGAACACAUCCCAUUUGUGGCGAACAUGAUGUCGCCAAAAAGAAAACACAUGUUGCUGUGAAGGUACAUGCCAAAAGAAAAAACAAAGAGGUUGCUGAAAUUACUCCACACCUUCCUAUGGUGCCACUUGACAGCCCUGCAAUGGGUACACGCAGCAAGAUAUUCAACCCUGCUAGCCCUGCAAUGAGCACACGAAGAAAAAGGAGACUUAGCUUGUGAUUCUCAUGUCAUUACUUUCCGUAUCAUGUUUCAUUUUGAAAACUAAGCUGUUUAUGUGAUAUAUGU